CCAGGCGUCCGGGCACCAAUGUGGCCCCAUCCCCCCUCCCCCCCCUGCCAAGGAACCCAGGCAUCCGGAGUGGGGACCCAGGCGUCCGGGGAAGGGCCCAGGCGUCCGGGAAGGGACCCAGGCAUCCGGGAGGGGCCCAGGCGUCCGGGAAGGGGCCCAGGCGUCCGGGAGGGGCCCAGGCAUCUGGGGAGGGGCCCAGGUGUCCGGGGAGGGGCCCAGGCGUUCGGGGAAGGGACCCAGAUGUUCGGGGAAGGGGCCCAGGCGUCCGGGAGGGGCCCAGGCAUUUGGGAGGGGCCCAGGCAUCCGGGGAGGGACCCAGGCAUCCGGGGCGGGGCCCAGGUGUCCGGGAGGGACCCAGGCGUUCAGGGAAGGGGCCCAGGUGUCCGGGAGGGGCCCAGGCGUUCGGGGGAGGGGCCCAGGCGUCCGGGAGGGGCCCAGGCAUCCAGGGAGAGGCCCAGGCGUCCGGGAGGGGCCCAGGCAUCCGGGGCGGGGCCCAGGUGUCCGGGAGGGGCCCAGGCGUCCGGGACUCACCCAGGGAGUCGCGCAGCGAGGCCAGAUCCUGCUGCAGCUGCUGCUGCUGCGUCCGCGCCGCCGCCAUGGCCUCAUCCAGGCUCCCUGUGGGGACCCGGCGGGGGGGGGGCUCAGCACCCCCAAAAUAGGGGCUCAGCACCCAACAUCGGGGCUCAGCACCCCAACAUCAGGGCUCAGCACCCCAG
rnacentral:lncRNA from 1 species